ensembl:lncRNA
GGUUUUAUGAUUCAUAAAGUAGUAAAAUUAAGCUAAGAAAUAUAUUUCCCCCCCACACAAAUUUCCGUCUAACGAUUAGGAAUAUUUUUUCAUAAGAAUGUGUAUUUAAAAUAUUUUUCACAAAACAGUCAAGUCAUAUAUCACAAGAAAGCUCUCAUUCUCAGGAAUCUGACGAUGUAGAUCAUUUUAUUGUGUGACAAUCACAGAUCGAAUGAUCUUCAACAGAAUCGCGAUGUAAAAUUUCUCACCUCAUUGCAAAUUAUUAUUUAUCCAUCUUAGCACCGCUUCAGUCACCCGCAAACAGCCACACAUACCUAUAUACUCGAUAUAAUCUUUUAGAUUAGAAUCUCUUCUUUCAAACAAGACCAUUUUUACGUUUCUGCGUGCUUCCAUUGGUGAGAUAUAAAGCGUUAUGUCCAGACGCGCUCAAAGAGAAAGACGCAGUUCUUUGAGACAGAAGCGCUCUUCAUGUCAUAAGACAAGCCUAAGCGGCUUUCUUCUGAUAUAUCGAUCGGAUCUCUUUUGUGAACCACUAUUUGUCCCUUCAGCUGUCAGUCUGAGCUGUGUGCUCCACUCAGAGCUGCUGAAUUUGACACCUCUGCGUCAACAGCGGGGGGAUGGAGUGGACAGUGAUGACCACAUCCUCCUCAGCCGGUGAAGCACUGGCUGAUGGGAUACUGAGUCCUCAAGUGUCCGUAAACAAAGAUCACACGCGGAAUAACUCGCGUCGCGGUGAUUAUCAAAUGUAUAAUAAUCAUACUACAAGUUAUGGAUGACCACCGUCGCCGUGGAGAGGACAGGACGCGCAUCUGGUCGUGUACAAGCUUCGGGCAGCGGAUAAGCGCUGAUAAUGCGUCAAAACAACAGAAGGGACGCUGGAAUAUGAAAUAUUACAGAUGAUUGAGACAGGUAAGAUCUCCCAAUCAUUACACCAAUGCAGAAUGGACAUAAAUGAAAUGAUAUGAAGCUGGAGAUUGUGGAUUCUAUUUUAGAUUGUGAUAGACCAGAUAUAUUUAAUAAUUUAAAGCAGUUUGCUAGUUUGCAGUGUGACUUAUCCUCUUUCAAAGUCUGUUCUGAAAACACACACACAAAAAAAGCACAUUGUAUUGAGGUGGUUCAUCAUAUGUGAAACAACAUAAAUAAUACUAUUUGUCACAAACAGCAGCUUUUUAUGUCACUUCAAAGGGUUUUCUGUAAAAGGAUAUAAAGAUAUUGCAUUUAUUCCACUAUAAUAUGGGUAUGGCUAG